GUUGAACGCUGGCGGCGGGCCUAACACAUGCAAGUCGAGCGAAUAGAUGAGGCUCUUUCUUCUCUUACGUUAGCGGCGGAUGGGUGAUUCAUACGUGGCUAACCUACCUAUAAGACUGGGAUCACUUCGGGAACCCUGAUCUAAUACCGGUUCAUAUAUUGAACCGCAUGGUUCUAUAGUGCUAGACCUUUUUGCUGUCACUUAUUGGUGUUUCCUCGUCGCAUUAGCUAGUUGGUAAGGGAAAGGCUUACCAAGGCUACGCUGCGUAGCCGAACUGAGAGGGUGAUAGGGCACACUGGAACUGAGAAACGGUCCAGAAUCCUAAGGGAGGGAGCAGUGGGGAAUAUUGGACAAAGGGCGAAAGCCUGACGGAGCAAAGCCGCGUGAGUGAAGAAGGUCUUCGGAUCGUAAAACACUUUAAGUAGGGAAGAACAAAUGUGUAAUAAUAUAUGGAUGUCUUGACGGUACCAAAAGAGAAAGCAACGGCUAACUACGUG
rnacentral:rRNA from 1 species